rnacentral:misc_RNA from 1 species
GAACUGCGAUAAGUAAUGUGAAUUGCAGAAUUCAGUGAAUCAUCGAGUCUUUGAACGCACAUUGCGCCCCCUGGCAUUCCGGGGGGCAUGCCUGUCCGAGCGUCAUUGCUGCCCUUCAAGCCCGGCUUGUGUGUUGGGUCGUCGUCCCCUCCGGGGGACGGGCCCGAAAGGCAGCGGCGGCACCGCGUCCGGUCUUCGAGCGUAUGGGGCUUUGUCACCCGCUCGAUAAGGACCGGCCGGGCGCCAGCCGGCGUCUCCAACCUUUUUUUCUCAGGUUGACCUCGGAUCAGGUAGGGAUACCCGCUGAACUUAAGC